GCCAUAAUUGUCUAGCCAUAUUACCAUAUUUGAUGCAUUGUGAUAAUAAUACAUUGUACAGCUGUUCAUUUCGAAAAAGUUACCUACAGUAUUGUAAAUUGACAAAAAUUUGAUUUUGCUGAAUGGAAAGUAUUGGAUUUUAUCUUAUGUUGGUUCUUAAAGACGAUAUUAGAACUAAAUCUCCCUAUAAUUGAUUAGCCAUUUAUUCAAAUCCAAACACAAAAUGCGAGUUAUCAAAUAAUCCUGACUUAAUUGAGCGCAGAGCAGUCAGUCUGAACGACGAAAACUUUUUGAGUUCACAAGUUUGUGACAAAGUAGCUUCAAUACGGCUCAUAUAAUUAUGAGUUCAGUUGACAUGUAAUAUACACGAUCACUCGAUGGCUCUUACCAGCAAAUAGACGUGAAAUCAGUUCCUCCAAUACCAACUUUCUCACGUUUUCACUAAAAUCAUCAAUAGGGUUUGAAAGUUUUGAAAUUUGAAUUUUAUUAAAAAUGAACCCAACUACUACCAGUUCGAUAUGCCGAAAAAAUUUCCUUCUAUUAGCCUUUAUUUUCCUCAGAUUUUCAUCAAUGGUACCGAUUGAAGCCGCAAAUAUUCCAUCUUUAGAAACCACGGGAUCCCAAAAAAAUUUAAAGAGGCCUUUUGAGGAGGUUAAUGAAGUAGACAAGUCGGCGGCUUCGAUUUCCAGCAUCGAAAUACCAAGAGAAGCGGGGAAAGAAAAGAACGCCAAUAAAAAGAUGAGUCACCCUUUGUUGCCGAAAAAGCGUCUGGAGGUGGCCGAGGGCGAAGAAGCUAAGACAGAUACUGCUGUUGAUAGUGACCCACGCAGAUCUACAAGCUAUACACAUGCCUUCCAGUCAAAACAGUUGUGGAAGAAACCUCUCAUCAUGCUCAGUGUAUUGUUAGCCUUGGUUAUUCUUCUAGUGGUAUAUGUGACACUCUCUCGUCCAUACUAGCGAUGAAGCAUCUUGUCAACUGUACCAACAACUUGCAACAUGGCAUCUGACAAAACCAACUUGUUCCUUUUGUAAUUGAAGUUUGUAGUAUAUUGCUGUUUUGUAGUACCGUUUGUAGUUGCAACCAAAACUGUAGUUCAUUUAAUCAUGUUAUCAUUAUUUGGUCAAUAACUUUUUUUGAUUUUGUUUUAUUUAUGAACUUAUUUUUUGUUCC